GUUUGAAGUAUGCCUGCUAAUUUGUCAAGAUUCAGGCCAAUUCGAAGGAUUAAUACGUUUUAAUACGUACGCUAUCGCUCAAAAAAUUCUCAUCUCAACGUUUCCGCAACAGAAUCACGUUUUACCCCUAAGAGCGAAGCAUUAAGAUCACCAUUCGUAAUUAAAGUUGCCAUCGAAGAAGCCCUUCGAACAAAGGACGCUCUAGCUCACCCCCUGACAAUAAUGCAGAUGCAAGAAGACUUCCAGCAAGGUCAGCAAUCGUAUCUCCGACCUGUUCGAAGCUUUGAUGCGAGGGCAUCUCUCUUAAAAUCU
rnacentral:misc_RNA from 1 species